ACGAAUAAUAAUUAUUUAGUGGGAUGGGGAGUCUGGAUAGGCGACAGUGCUGAAGCUAUAGAGUUGUAGAAAGAAGAAGUGUGGGAUCGAUAAAAUGAUGGUUGACGUGGUGACUAGCAAUAGCCAGCAGCAAAUUCUGAUGGGUGGCGGAGGCGGAGGAGGAGAUACGACGAGCAGUGGGGGCGAGGAAAAUUGUACAAACCCUUGUUCUGAUGUGAAAACCCCUAAGAAACGUGCAGAGACAUGGGUACAAGAAGAAACUCGAGUACUUAUUGGUCUUCGUAGAGAAAUUGACUCUCUUUUCAACACUUCAAAGUCUAAUAAGCAUUUGUGGGACCAAAUUUCUAUGAAGAUGAGAGAAAAGGGGUUUGAUAGGUCACCUACUAUGUGUACUGAUAAAUGGAGAAAUUUGUUGAAGGAAUUCAAGAAAGCUAAACAAAAUCAAGAUAGAAAUGGCUCUGCUAAGAUGUCCUAUUAUAAGGAAAUUGACGAGAUUUUAAGAGACAGGACUAAUACCCCUCUCCCUCCCCCUCCCAAGGUUGAUUCUUUUAUGCACUUUGCUCAAAAAGGUCUUGAUGAUACAAGCAUCACAUUUGGACCCGUUGAAGAGAAUGGGAGACCAACUCUUAAUUUAGAACGACGUCUGGAUCAUGAUGGCCAUCCUCUUGCCAUAACAGCAGCAGAUGCAGUCACCGCUAGUGGAGUUUCCCCUUGGAAUUGGAGAGAGCCACAUGGAACCGGUCAGUCUGUGUUACAAAUUAGUGUGGAAACAUCCCCAUGGUUUUACUUCAGAGAACAAGGAAAACAAAAGGAGUUUGAAGAAUCUUCUCAAAAACUAUUUUUGCAUAUUUUUCUUUGUCGGGUGAGCCGAGUCAAUCAUAUGAGGGACGAGUUAUCUCUGUCAAGUGGGGAGAUUACACCAAAAGAAUUGGUAUUGACGGUACUGCAGAUGCGAUCAAGGAAGCUAUUAAAUCUGCUUUUCGAUUAAGGACAAAGCGUGCAUUUUGGUUGGAGGAUGAAGAUAAUAUUGUCAGAACACUUGACAGGGAUAUGCCACUGGGAAACUACACCUUGCAUGUCGAUGAAGGACCGCAGUACGGGACAGAUGAUUGGAACAGGACAUGAAUCACAAGGCCUUUACUACCUUACCUCUUCAAAUUCCUUGACAGCAUGCUCCGUUACAGAUUCCCCAGAUCUAAUUCACAAACGUCUAGGACAUCCGAGUUUAUCCAAACUACAAAAAAUGGUGCGUAGUUUGUCUAGUUUAUCUACAUUAGAUUGUGAGUCGUGUCGACUUGGAAAACACACUCGUGCUAUGUUUUCUUGUAGUACUGAGGGUCAUUCAGAGUCUAUUUUUUCAUUAGUUUAUUCUGAUAUUUGGGGUCCUAGUAGAGUCAGUUCCACCUUAGGAUUUCAUUAUUUUGUUAGUUUCAUUGAUGAUUAUUCAAGAUGUACUUGGGUUUUUUUAAUGAAAGAUCGUUCUGAGUUAUUUUCUAUUUUCAAAAGUUUCUUUGCUGAAAUACAAAAUCAGUUUGGUGUUUCUAUCGUACUUUCCGUAGUGAUAAUGCCUUAGAAUACUUAUCAUCCCAAUUUCAGCAAUUUAUGUCUCACCACGGAAUCAUUCACCAAACAUCUUGUCCACACUCCUCAACAAAAUGGUGUCGCAUAAAGAAAGAAUAGGCAUCUCAUAGAGACUGCUCGCACUCUCCUCAUUGAAUCCCAUGUUCCGCUGAGUUUUUGGGGCGAUGCAGUCCUUUCAUCUUGUUAUUUAAUUAACAGAAUGCCCUCUUCGUCUAUUCAGAUUCCAUACUGUUUCCUUAGUCACAUCUCUAUCCUAUUCCCCCUCAUGUCUUUGGGAACACAUGCUUUGUUCAUAAUUUAGCCCUAGGAAAGAUAAAUUAGCUCCUCGUGCCCUCAAAUGUGUCUUUCUUGGUUACUCUAGAGUUCAAAAAGGGUAUCGUUGUUAUUCACAUGAUCUUCAUCGAUAUGUUAUUCUGCUGAUGUUACAUUUUUUGAGUCUCAGCCUUACUAUACAUCUUCUGAUCAUACUGAUGUCUAUGGUCUUACCCAUACCUCAAGUUUUACUUGUGCCCUUUGAGGGAUCUACAGUUACGUCUACAUCUCCAGUUGCAGUGCCACCACUUCUAACUUAUCAUCGUCAUCCACGUCCAACCCUAGUCCCAGAUGAUUCAUGUCAUGCACCAGACCCUGCUCCUACUGCGGACUUGCCUCUACCUAGCCCACCGCUUGCACUUCAAAAAGGCCUGACGAUAAAGAUCUGCAUGUAUGAUGAGGCAGAUCACUUGCCUGUUCAUACAGAGGAUAAAACCUUUUACUCCGAGGAUGAUUU